UGGUGGAGUGAUCUGUCUGCUUUAUUGCGAUAACGAACGAGACCAAUACCUGCUAAAUAGCGGUUAUGACAUUCAACUGACUGUAUGUUGGGCAGAUGAGAGUGGAAGUUGAAGUUGUAUUUCCUUUCGGGGGAGUAUAGUUUUGGCUUUUUCAUUCUUUGACGCUCAGUGUACAACUCGGUUGACGAAAAUGUCGUAAUUGGAUGGUACGGCUUAUGGAUAUCA
rnacentral:rRNA from 1 species